rnacentral:rRNA from 1 species
UGUGGAGCCGUAGCGAAAGCGAGUCUGAAUAGGGCGUUUAGUAUUUGGUCGUAGACCCGAAACCAGGUGAUCUACCCUUGGUCAGGUUGAAGUUCAGGUAACACUGAAUGGAGGACCGAACCGACUUACGUUGAAAAGUGAGCGGAUGAACUGAGGGUAGCGGAGAAAUUCCAAUCGAACCUGGAGAUAGCUGGUUCUCUCCGAAAUAGCUUUAGGGCUAGCCUCAAGUGAUGAUUAUUGGAGGUAGAGCACUGUUUGGACGAGGGGCCCCUCUCGGGUUACCGAAUUCAGACAAACUCCGAAUGCCAAUUAAUUUAACUUGGGAGUCAGAACAUGGGUGAUAAGGUCCGUGUUCGAAAGGGAAACAGCCCAGACCACCAGCUAAGGUCCCAAAAUAUAUGUUAAGUGGAAAAGGAUGUGGCGUUGCCCAGACAACUAGGAUGUUGGCUUAGAAGCAGCCAUCAUUUAAAGAGUGCGUAAUAGCUCACUAGUCGAGUGACACUGCGCCGA